AUGAUAAUAAAAUUACAAAUCAAACCUAGUUAAAUAUUUCAACUUCUUUUAAUAUCCCUACUAAUAUUAGAAUUUGUGUGAUGCUCAAUCCAGAUUAAAAAGAAUUUAUCAUUGCAAAUCAUUUUCUUAUUUAUUUGAGCAAAUCAAAACAUAUAAUCGGAUGAGGCCUAAAAGUGAACUGACCCAGAUCCAAAAACCAGAGACAAAAGUAUGAUGAAUUCAGACAUUUAGGUCAUUUAGGAAAGUAAAGCCUCCUCGUGUGGCUUUUCAUCUUCCCCGAUCAUCUUCGAUGCUAUUAUACUCGACUGUCGUUGUGGUUCUCCAAUCGCGACCAUCUUCAUCUCAGUCAACUAAGCUAAGUUUCAAACCUUCAACUUAUCUUCUUUACUUUCAUAGAUCGAUGGAUUGAGAUUCUUAAGAAUCUAAUACCACCAUCUUAACUAGAAAAUAAAUUACAGUAAAUUGUGAUUUGAAGACUUUGUAAGUGUAUAAGGUUCUUCCUAAUAAUUUGUACGGACUUAUUUCGGAUCUGAUAUAGCAGCUGUUUAAGUAUUCAUCCCCUUCACCGGUGGUGGACCGAUGUAGAAAUUUGGGGUGCUCCGUCACCCACUAAACUCGAUGCAAAAUAUCUAAAAUUACAUAGAAAAUAUAUGAAAAUAGGUAUAAAAUAUAUAAAAGGAUACACUAUAACAAAAAGUUUGUUGGGUGCAUUGGCAUUUGGAUGAUCUUAAUGUGCUUCAUUGGGAGGAGGCCGUUCGAACCUCAUUGAAUUGUUUAAGCACUCACUAUUCUUAAAUUUUGGGUCUGCCACUGCCCUUCACAUCCCAAAUCUCACUGGAUACAGGGUUAGUACUUCAAGAAAAUCACUUCCAACAACAGGUACCAUCAUCUCCUUAAAUGAUCCCCAAUAUGAUUAUUACCAACCUAUUUACAAUUUAUUAUUUUGGUUGUUUGAGGUUAUUCUUCUCUGAUUUCUGUCUUGAUUCAAAGAAUGGAGAUGUUGUAGUUAUCUGCAUAUUCCAUGUUACUUUUUACUCCUAUGCCAUGUUGUAGUGUAUGCUCCUUAAGUAUCCUGUCUUGUUUUCCUGAUUGCUAUUUUCUGUUGCAAACCUCUUACAUGAAUUGUUGUUAUUGUAGAUUCAUGUUUCCUUUGUGGUUCUUCUAAUGUUAGAAGUCCCACUUUUGCCUAGAUUAAUGAUAGCCUUUUCGUUCACUGGCAUCUCUUCAAGAUUAUUAUUAUACUGAAAAAUCACCUACAAUAUCAAAAACUAGGUUAGUAAAAAAAUCAGCUAGAGUGUUACCUUCUCGAAGGGAAUGGACCACCCUAACUAAUAUAUUAUCCAUCAUAGCUUUUAUGGGGUUGACCACCAUUGUCAUACUCCAUGAAACCUCCCAAUUUAGGUUAAGAAUAUGUACAAUCACUUUCCGCAAUUAUUUGCUAAAUAGAGUUAGCUCUGUAGAACAGUAGCCAUGCCUUGAUAGUUAUAGCUUUUGCUAACAAGCUAGUAGUGUCUUUAAUUCUGGAUCCUUUAGCUACCACUAAAUCACCAUGAUGAUAUCUAAUGCAAAAUGCAAUAGAGCUAGGGCCAAGAUUUCCUUUAGAGACACCAUCAGUGUUACCCUUUAGCCAACCAGUCUCAUAAGGAAACCAAUUCACCAGUUUAAAUAAAUAAUGGCUACUAUAACUUUGAAGUUCAUCUACUCUACUAUGCCAUUUUUUACCUGCAACCUUCAUACCAAUAGUAUCAUUCACUUCCCAAUAAAUCUUCCUUUCAUGAUAAGCACCCCCAUUUAAAACAAUAUUUCUUCUCUUCCAUAAAAGUCAAAGAAUAAUUAUAGGGACAACACUGAAUACAAUCCUCAAUCUAUAGUUAUCAUCUAGAAAUCGUCAUUUAAUCUCCGCUCAACUAAGUCAGUUUCUCCAUGUAAAUGGUUCCACACCCUUUCAGCAAUUUCUCCAUUAAAAAAUAGGUGAUUAAUUGUUUCUCUUACUGAAUUACUACAACAAACACAAUUUUUGUAAUAUCAGGGUUCCAAUUAUUCAUCAAAUCAGAAAUCGGGAUCGUACCUAUCCGAAUUCUCUUAAGAAUGACAAUUUAAAAGGCAAUUCUUUAAGCCAGAUUUCCUUUUAAAUCUUUAUUUUCAUCAGCUCUUUGUCUAAGAAGUUCCCAAGCACUUUCGAUAGUGAACUUUCUGGUGCUAUUCAUGAUCCACCAGGGUUUAUCCAUGGUAUCUUCAUAGCAAACAAAGUCCACAUUGUCUAUGACAUAACUUACCACACAUCUUAUCACUUUAUCCUGAAUAACUUCAUAGUUUCAACCCUCUACAUCUAAAAAUUUUAUAAUAUCUGUCAAAGGAUAACAAGUUUGCACCUCGGAUUGCUGCAUACACAAUGGACCAGUAUUUGUCCGAUUGUCAAACCAAGUAGUGGAUGUCCCACCUCUAGGCUCCCACCAUAAACAUUGUUCUAUUUUGUCUCUAUUAUUCAGCAUACCUUUCCACACUUGAGAUCCACCUCUCCAUUACACUAAUGUUGGCACCUGUUUUUUAUAAUACUUAUUCCACGAAAAAUUAGACCACAAGUUGCUCUGAGUUCUAAACCUCCACCAUAGUUUGGCGUGCAUAGCUUGAGAUACAUUUUCCAUGGAUCUAAACCGCAAUCCCCUUCCUGUUUAGGGAUACAAAGUUUGUUUUACGCCACCUAGUGUUUGUUACUUCCUGUUUCUUAUUCUGCCAAAAGAAUUUAGCAAAGGUUCUCUGCAUUUCUUUUAACACACUCUUUGGUGGGACUACUGUUAACCCAAACAUAUAAUGGUACACUCUGUAGUACACUUUUAUAAGGACUUCUUUGCCACCAUAAGAUAUUAAUCUGCCCUUCCAAGCUUGAAGUUUACCUUUGAUCUUGUCAAUCAACUCAUCAUAAUGCUCUUUCUUCUUCUUGGAGUGAGUUAAGAGGCAUCCGAGAUAUUUCAGAGAAAAAGAGAUUUUAUUCAUCCAUGUAAUCUAUUCAACCUGCAUCACCACAUUAGAAGGAGUAGUUUGAUGCAUAUAGAUAAAUUCUUAUCCCUGUUUACCUUCUGGCCAUACUCAAUCUCAUAUUCCUGCAAAAUACUCAUUAUCUUACUCAUAGAGUAAUCAUUAGAAGUAAGUAUGAUAGUAUCAUUUGCAUAAGCUAGGUGGUUCAAGUUAAAACUCCGCUUAGACAUACCAAACCCCACAUAAGAGAUAUCAUCAAAUAAUUGAGUAAGAGCUCCCGUCAUUACUUCAGCAGAUUUAAUAAUUGAGUAAAUAUUAGAAGGUUUUCCUCUUUUCCCUAUAUCAAUAAUCAGUUCUUGCAUAAGUAGAACAUUUUCACAAUACUCCUUCGUUUAACAAAUCCUGAUUCAUUAGAGAAAAUCAAUCUAGGAAAAAGAUUUUUCAACCGAUCAUGCACAACCCUAGAAAGGAUUUUAUUCACAAAGUUACUCAAACUAAUUGAACUCAAAUCGGAAAAGGAUUGCACAUUAUCCUUUUUAGGAAUGAGAAUCAAAGUAGUAUGAGUAAUGAAUUUAGGAAGAGUAUUACUUGCAAAAAGUCCAGAACAGGCUCCUCACAUCUCCACCAAUAAUGUCCCAGCAAACCAGAUAAAACCUGCCAGAUAGUCUAUCAGGUCCACGACUGCUAUCCAUCCCUAUUUAAUUUAAACACAACCUGCUUAAUUUCUUCCUUAACUAGGAUCGCCUUAAGAAUCCUGUUAUAAUCUUCAAAGAUUAACUCAGGAAUGUGAUCUAGAAAAGGGAAUUCUAAAGCAUCUCUUCCCUGUCUAAACUGUUGUUGAUAAUAAGUUAUUGCCUCACUUGCAAUCUGAGCUUCAUUUUCUAACCAACCAGAUUCACUAAGGAUCCUAGAAAUUUUUAGUUUGUUCCUUCUUCCUUUGACAAUGCUAUGAAAGAAUUUGUUUUUUCUAUCCCUAUUUUCAAACCAGUCAUAUCCAGCCUUUAGUUGCCAGUAACUCUCCUCUAAUUGAAGAUACCUGAUAUAUUCAGCCCUUGCUUUCUGCAUUACAACUCUAUUUCCGUGUGAUGGUGAUUCUUCAAAUAGUUUUUCCUUUACCUUAGGUAUUUCCUCCCUGAUUAUCAAUUAUUGAAAUAUAUCCCCAAGAGUCUUAUCUGUUUCACUCAACAAAUGCUCUUUUCACCUUUUUAAUCUUUCUUUUGAAAUCGUGAAAGGGAUUAUCAGUGCUUUCAUCAUCCCAGUUCCUUCUGACUACCUCUUUAAAUUCAUCAUGCUCAGUCCUAAAGUUUAAAAAUUUAAAAAACUUCUGAAACUUAAUUUUGGAAUUUUCAUAUCUUAGAAAAAGAGGAGAUUAAUCAGAACCAUCUUUAGCCAAAUGUUCCUCCUCCACUAAGUUAAAUAUAUCUAGAAAACCUGAAUUACAAAACAUUCUGUCCAGUUUCUCAAAAAUGCAAUCAUCACCUGCUCUCCCAUUCCAUCAGAUAAAUGGACUACCCUUGCGUUGAAUUAGGAUAAGUUCACAGGAUUCAACAGUCUUUGAAAUUCUCCGUUUCUGCAGUAAUUACAGGCAAACCUCCAAUCUUAUCUGAACCAUUAAGGAGUGAAUUAAAAUCCCUUCCUAUGAUCAAGGUUUAGAAUUCCCAUUGGCUAUAGAGAAGAUACUAUCCCAAAGGUUCGAUUUUUGACUUAUGUCAUAUUUAGUAUAAAUUAGGAUCACAAGAAAAGAUGUACCAAGGGACUGAUGUUGUAGUUGCAGAGAGAGUAACUUUUCUAUGUCGCUCUUUAUGAUAACAGUAAAGCCAUGAUUCACAAAGCACCAAAUUUUACCAUUACAAUUAUGAAACAUGAGAGGCACCUACAGUCUCCCUAUGUAUUUAUUAAUGUAUUUCGGUUGCUGAAAUGGUUCCAAAAGGGCUAUAAAAGAAAAAUUAUUUAACCUAUUCAGCAUCUGAACUCUCUGAAAAGCUUUUUGAGAUUUGAUCGACCUAAUAUUCCAAAUCAAUACUUUCAUCAUUGCUUAGAGUACGAACUUCCACCCCCUCUCUUAGGUUGAGACCUGCAAGGUAGAUUCUUUCCCCAUUGAUUUUUUUUUUUCUUUCUUUGCUGCUUUGUGGACGUGAUGGCUAUGGGUGACAAGUCUGCUUCCCUAUGAAUUUGCUCCUCUUUAUUCUGAUAGGAUGUUGUCUCCUUCACCCCUUCUAAUAAACCACCAAUUUCGUCCACUGCAUCCACCUUAUUAGUAAGUAUAUCAUGUAACACUUUGUUGGAAGAUUCUGAGUCACCACUCCAUACAUGUUCAGCUGCUGCAAUUGGAAUUUCAACUAUGGCCGCAAGACUGUUAUUAUCUUGCUCUUGAUUAGAACUCUCUUCUCUUUGUGCUAGAUUAUCCUUCUGGGUAACACUGUCUUUUGUUGGGGAAUUAAUCUUUGCUAUCUUUAUGUUGUCAGCACUUUUGCUGCUUAUGAUGAACCAACUGUUCCCUCGCUUCUACUUGACUGAUAUCUCUUUUAUCAGAUUCAUCAUAGCUGAUAGCUGGCACCAUAUUGUUGUAUUGAUUCUCUCAUAGCGUUUUUUGUAGGCUUCUCGACAAUUUUAAUGCUCCUUGGACCAAUAUCGUAAGCUUGCGAUGUCUACUUUGGGAAUAAUAGCCUCAGGUGGAAAUGUUGAGAAACCUUUCCAACAUCUUGAAUGGAAGGAAUUUUUUCCAUAUGCAGUGAGGAAUUUCGCUCAAUUGAAACCAUAACAACCAAAACAAUAUAAUACUAGCCAGACUGGUCUGAUUCAAAACAGCAGCGGAAAUUGGAUCAUUGGUUUCCAAAGAUAUCAUAAUAUCUUUUCACCCUUGCAAGCUGAAUUGGUGGCACAAGGAGGAAACAAUAUGUUAGAUGUGUAGAUGUAAAUUCUAGUAUAAUCCUAGCAAACUACGCCUAUCUUAAUGUUCUAAAUCGCAUCUAUCGUAUGGUUAUAAAGAUUUCAAGUACGGUAGAAAAUCAAACUGCUCCGUUUGGACGCGGACUGCAAUAUUGUGAAUAUUCAAGUUUCGAGAGAAGUCACCGAGUAUUCAAGCUAUAAAAAUGCAGCAUAAAGCUGCAUAGCUCGUAUGAUAGAGCUAAUGUAAUCCAACCCUUCUGUAAACCCCAUAUAUGAUUAUGCAAUGCAAACUGCAUAGCUCGUACGAUUGACCUAAUGUAACCCAACUCCAUGCAUGCAUAACCGAAACCUGAGUGUAUUGGAUUACCCUUUCUUAUGACUCUCUUCAAAACCAAAGGAAGAACAUUGUACAUACAAUUUUAAAAAUAUAUUCUCAGUUCCUUCAUCCUUACAUGUUCUGAUCUGCCUCAAUAUGUACAGGAGCUAUUUGCAUAAAGAAAGAAAGAAAAAAACAACAACUCUUUUAUCCCUUUUGACUAUUCAUUCAUCACUGCAAAGAGCAAAAAGCUAACCUUAGGGGGAAAAAAAGGAAGGGGGUGUACAAAGUUCUCUUCUGCUUCAACACAAGCUGCUUUGACCAAUGAAUUGAUCCAUCAGUUUACUACUCUAACUUUGGUCCACUGUACAGUGCUCCAGCUACAGUUAAAUCCUCAG